CCUACGGGGGGCUGCAGUGAGGAAUAUUGGUCAAUGGACGAGAGUCUGAACCAGCCAAGUAGCGUGAAGGAUGACUGCCCUAUGGGUUGUAAACUUCUUUUAUAUGGGAAUAAAAUGUUCCACGUGUGGGCUUUUGUAUGUACCAUAUGAAUAAGGAUCGGCUAACUCCGUGCCAGCAGCCGCGGUAAUCCGGAGGAUCCGAGCGUUAUCCGGAUUUAUUGGGUUUAAAGGGAGCGUAGGUGGAUUGUUAAGGCAGUUGUGAAAGUUUGCGGCUCAACCGUAAAAUUGCAGUUGAAACUGGCAGUCUUGAGUACAGUAGAGGUGGGCGGAAUUCGUGGUGUAGCGGUGAAAUGCUUAGAUAUCACGAAGAACUCCGAUUGCGAAGGCAGCUCACUGGACUGCAACUGACACUGAGGCUCGAAAGUGUGGGUAUCAAACAGGAUUAGAUACCCUUGUAGUC
rnacentral:rRNA from 1 species